rnacentral:rRNA from 1 species
UACGUAGGGGGCUAGCGUUGUCCGGAAUCAUUGGGCGUAAAGCGCGUGUAGGCGGCCCGGUAAGUCCGCUGUGAAAGUCGGGGGCUCAACCCUCGGAAGCCGGUGGAUACUGUCGGGCUGGAGUACGGAAGAGGCGAGUGGAAUUCCUGGUGUAGCGGUGAAAUGCGCAGAUAUCAGGAGGAACACCUAUUGCGAAGGCAGCUCGCUGGGACAUUACUGACGCUGAGACGCGAAAGCGUGGGGAGCAAACAGG